CGGAGCAACGCCGCGUGAGUGAUGAAGGUUUUCGGAUCGUAAAACUCUGUUGUUAGGGAAGAACAAGUACCGUUCGAAUAGGGCGGUACCUUGACGGUACCUAACCAGAAAGCCACGGCUAACUACGUGCCAGCAGCCGCGGUAAUACGUAGGUGGCAAGCGUUGUCCGGAAUUAUUGGGCGUAAAGCGCGCGCAGGCGGUCUUUUAAGUCUGAUGUGAAAGCCCCCGGCUCAACCGGGGAGGGUCAUUGGAAACUGGGAGACUUGAGUGCAGAAGAGGAGAGUGGAAUUCCACGUGUAGCGGUGAAAUGCGUAGAGAUGUGGAGGAACACCAGUGGCGAAGGCGACUCUCUGGUCUGUAACUGACGCUGAGGCGCGAAAGCGUGGGGAGCGAACAGGAUUAGAUACCCUGGUAGUCCACGCCGUAAACGAUGAGUGCUAAGUGUUAGAGGGUUUCCGCCCUUUAGUGCUGCAGCAAACGCAUUAAGCACUCCGCCUGGGGAGUACGGCCGCAAGGCUGAAACUCAAAGGAAUUGACGGGGGCCCGCACAAGCGGUGGAGCAUGUGGUUUAAUUCGAAGCAACGCGAAGAACCUUACCAGGUCUUGACAUCCUCUGACAAUCCUAGAGAUAGGACGUUCCCCUUCAGGGGACAGAGUGACAGGUGGUGCAUGGUUGUCGUCAGCUCGUGUCGUGAGAUGUUGGGUUAAGUCCCGCAACGAGCGCAACCCUUGAUCUUAGUUGCCAGCAUUCAGUUGGGCACUCUAAGGUGACUGCCGGUGACAAACCGGAGGAAGGUGGGGAUGACGUCAAAUCAUCAUGCCCCUUAUGACCUGGGCUACACACGUGCUACAAUGGAUGGUACAAAGGGCUGCAAGACCGCGAGGUUUAGCCAAUCCCAUAAAACCAUUCUCAGUUCGGAUUGCAGGCUGCAACUCGCCUGCAUGAAGCCGGAAUCGCUAGUAAUCGCGGAUCAGCAUGCCGCGGUGAAUACGUUCCCGGGCCUUGUACACACCGCCCGUCACACCACGAG
rnacentral:rRNA from 1 species